rnacentral:rRNA from 1 species
AACGAACGCUGGCGGCAGGCUUAACACAUGCAAGUCGAGCGCCCCGCAAGGGGAGCGGCAGACGGGUGAGUAACGCGUGGGAAUCUACCCAUCACUACGGAAUAACGCAUGGAAACGUGUGCUAAUACCGUAUACGUCCUUCGGGAGAAAGAUUUAUCGGAGAUGGAUGAGCCCGCGUUGGAUUAGCUAGUUGGUGGGGUAAAGGCCUACCAAGGCGACGAUCCAUAGCUGGUCUGAGAGGAUGAUCAGCCACACUGGGACUGAGACACGGCCCAGACUCCUACGGGAGGCAGCAGUGGGGAAUAUUGGACAAUGGGCGCAAGCCUGAUCCAGCCAUGCCGCGUGAGUGAUGAAGGCCCUAGGGUUGUAAAGCUCUUCCACCGGUGAAGAUAAUGACGGUAACCGGAGAAGAAGCCCCGGCUAACUUCGUGCCAGCCGCCGCCGUAAUAC